rnacentral:rRNA from 1 species
AUUGAACGCUGGCGGCGGGCCUAACACAUGCAAGUCGAGCGGAAGAAGGGAGCUUGCUCCUGGAUUCAGCGGCGGACGGGUGAGUAAUGCCUAGGAAUCUGCCUGUUAGUGGGGGAUAACGUCCGGAAACGGGCGCUAAUACCGCAUACGUCCUGAGGGAGAAAGUGGGGGAGCUUCGGACCUCACGCUAUCAGAUGAGCCUAGGUCGGAUUAGCUCGUUGGUGGGGUAAAGGCCUACCAAGGCGACGAUCCGUAACUGGUCUGAGAGGAUGAGCAGUCACACUGGAACUGAGACACGGUCCAGACUCCUACGGGAGGCAGCAGUGGGGAAUAUUGGACAAUGGGCGAAAGCCUGAUCCAGCCAUGCCGGGUGUGUGAAGAAGGUCUUCGGAUUGUAAAGCACUUUAAGUUGGGAGGAAGGGCAGUAAGUUAAUCCCUUGCUGUUUUGACGUUACCAACAGAAUAAGCACCGGCUAACUUCGUG